UAACCAUCUUAACACUCACCAACCAUGCGACUGACGAAUUGCCGUGGCCACCAAACUGUCAAAUUCAAAUCAGCCAACUGCAAUAUUCCUAUGCCCAGUACCAGCUAUUUUGGCUGAGGCCCUUUUUAUCAGUUGUUCAUUUUAUUGGAGUCUCAUCUUGCAACUUUUUUUUCUCUCUAUUUCUCCCUCCACCGUGGUCCUUACCCUCACCGAGGCGCAUAGAAGGGGCAACAAGGCAUGUUGGCUGAUUGGCAUCGCAAGUCAAUAUGCCAUUCGUGGUCAUUUGUGUCUUGGUUUUGGUAUAUUCUGUGGGGGGCGGGAACACAAACUUUCGCUAUCGCGAUCUCCCAGCAACAAACGAGUCAGGUCCUCUGCUACACCUUUAACACCAAUUACGAUUCUGGAAGGUUCUCACCAUUACUGACUAUACCUGUCAAUUGGCUGAUCUUGGAUACCUGGUAGCGGCUUUGCUCUUCUUCGUCGAAAUUUCAUCUGAAAGUACAGCCAGCGACGCCGACUCUCGUGCAAUGACCGCACUGGUUGACUGGUUGAUAUAUCGAACGGAACUCACUCUCCCCUUCUUUUACGGACACCGCAGACCACGAUCCGACUCAGAAAUUGCCUCAUUUCUGAAGGGGGAAAAAUCUUGAGGCUCAGAUUCGAAAUUUGUAGUGAACCUUGGGCCAUGCCAAAUCUGCCGCAUUUCUGCUGUCAACUUGGGGAGGCAAGUAAGUGUGAUUGAUAACGGAAUGCAGCUCAUCUACCAGGAU